UGGGGAAUAUUGCACAAUGGGCGCAAGCCUGAUGCAGCCAUGCCGCGUGUGUGAAGAAGGCCUUCGGGUUGUAAAGCACUUUCAGCGGGGAGGAAGGCGAUAAGGUUAAUAACCUCAUCGAUUGACGUUACCCGCAGAAGAAGCACCGGCUAACUCCGUGCCAGCAGCCGCGGUAAUACGGAGGGUGCAAGCGUUAAUCGGAAUUACUGGGCGUAAAGCGCACGCAGGCGGUUUGUUAAAUCAGAUGUGAAAUCCCCGGGCUCAACCUGGGAACUGCAUCUGAUACUGGCAAGCUUGAGUCUCGUAGAGGGGGGUAGAAUUCCAGGUGUAGCGGUGAAAUGCGUAGAGAUCUGGAGGAAUACCGGUGGCGAAGGCGGCCCCCUGGACGAAGACUGACGCUCAGGUGCGAAAGCGUGGGGAGCAAACAGG
rnacentral:rRNA from 1 species